rnacentral:rRNA from 1 species
UACGUAGGGUGCGAGCGUUGUCCGGAAUUAUUGGGCGUAAAGGGCUCGUAGGCGGUCUGUCGCGUCGGGAGUGAAAACUCAGGGCUUAACCCUGAGCCUGCUUCCGAUACGGGCAGACUAGAGGUAUGCAGGGGAGAACGGAAUUCCUGGUGUAGCGGUGGAAUGCGCAGAUAUCAGGAGGAACACCGGUGGCGAAGGCGGUCUCUGGGCCGAUAUUGACGCUGAGGAGCGAAAGCGUGGGGAGCGAACAGG